GUGAAAGUUUAGGAUCCAGUGAUCAUCAGUGUCAGGAUUACUGUUUGAUCCAGCACGUAGAACUGUAUAGCACGGAUGACAAAUAAGUCCCACAGAAAGGGACGCAGUGAUGAGGAAAGCCAGGAGUCAGGAUACCAGAAUAUAGAGAAGUCAAUAAACAAAGCCAAAGUAAAAAAACAGGCAGAAAACUAUAAACAGGAACACGCUCUCGGACAACCACAAGGGAAACCAUGACAGGGCACUGAGCAGGAUGAGAACUGGGCCUAAAUAUCCCUCGUCUAGAUCUGGUAGGCUCUAACCGGUCCUUGACCCCAAAGUCAGUUACCAGGUUUCAUUUGCAUAAUUGCUGCUCAGCAUUAACCCUUCUGUGGAUUAGGUUGCUGCUUGGCACAACUUUUCUUGUGUGGACAGUAAAUGUCAUUAACCACAUUUUUAUAAGCGGAUGAAUACGUGACAAUCAGUCAGUGUGGUUUAAUAUAAGAACAGUGACGGAGUCACACCACACAAAAAAAAAAGUUUUAGACUUUAGAAAAACAAACUUUUCUAAUAUUAGAAUAUGUGUAAAGGAGUCAUUAUCAGACUGGAGCAGUUUAAAUGGAGUCCAAGAGAAAUUGAUUAUUUAAAAGUUGCACUGCUGAAGGCAACAGAAAAUUGCAUUAGGCUUGUCGGUAAAAGCAAAAAAAUUUAAGAACCACUGUGGUGCUCUGUAGAUGUGGCCAAAAUAGUAAAAAACUAAAAGUUAGCAUUAAACAAAUAUAAAAAAAAUACCCAGAGUGAGAAAGAUAGACAAAUCUAUAAGAUUAGACAGAAAGAUGCUAAG